UUUGUACUCACUGAUUGUUUUUGCAUAGGCCCCUCCAGGCCACGACCAGCUGUUCGGAUUUUAUAAACGGGACCUUUGCAUUGUGAACUGAGCUACAACAGGCAGGCAGGGGCAGCAAGAUGGUGUUGCAGACCCAAGUCUUCAUUUCCCUGUUGCUCUGGAUCUCUGGUGCCUAUGGGGACAUCGUGAUGACCCAGUCUCCAGACUCCCUGGCUGUGUCUCUGGGCGAGAGGGUCACCAUCAACUGCAAGUCCAGCCAGAGUGUUUUAUACAGCUCCAACAAUAAGAACUACUUAGCCUGGUACCAGCAGAAACCAGGACAGGCUCCUAAGCUGCUCAUUUACUGGGCAUCCACCCGACAAUCCGGGGUCCCUGACCGAUUCAGUGGCAGCGGGUCUGGGACAGAUUUCACUUUCACCAUCAGCAGCCUGCAGGCUGAAGAUGUGGCAGUUUAUUACUGUCAGCAGUCCUAUAGUGCUCCUCCCACAAUGCUUCAGCCUCGAACACAAACCUCUCCAUGCGUUGGGCCAGUAGGUCUUUGCUGCAGCAGCUGCUUCCUCUGCACACAGCCCCAAACAUGCAUGCUUCCUCUGUGUGUCGGGGCGGUCACUCUCUUGAUUUAUUCAUUGGAGGGUUUGCAGGG